rnacentral:rRNA from 1 species
ACAACGAGUCGCAAGCUCGCGAGAGUAAGCUAAAUCUCUUAAAGCCGUUCUCAGUUCGGACUGUAGGCUGCAACUCGCCUACACGAAGUCGGAAUCGCUAGUAAUCGCGGAUCAGCAUGCCGCGGUGAAUACGUUCCCGGGCCUUGUACACACCGCCCGUCACACCAUGGGAGUUUGUAACGCCCAAAGUCGGUGGCCUAACCUUUAUGGAGGGAGCCGCCUAAGGCGGGACAGAUGACUGGGGUGAAGUCGUAACAAGGUAUC